AAGUAUGUUCCGUGAAGAUAAUAGAAAUUGUUUCGAUGUAU
rnacentral:sRNA from 1 species